rnacentral:tRNA from 1 species
GCGCAGAUGGUGAAAUUGGUAGACACGCUACUUUGAGGGGGUAGUGCCGGUUACGGUAUGUGAGUUCGAGUCUCAUUCUGCGCA